rnacentral:tRNA from 1 species
GUGGACGUAGCUCAGUGGUAGAACACUUGCCUAGCAUAUGAGGUCCUGGGUUCAACCCCCAGCGCUACA